CUCAGAUGCUGUUGCCAUAGAAACUGUUGCUAUCAUCUAUUGUCCAUCACCCCUUGACAGUAAGGAAAGGAGGGGGGACUGUGGUUUCAUGGGGAAGGAAAUAAGAAGAGUUGGAUUUAAGUCAAGAUGAAAAAACUAUAUUGAAGUGGGUGCCUGAAGACUUCAAUGGUAUAUAUAACAAAAUGUCUGAUCUCCAACGGAAAUGAAUUAGGGCCAUAAGUGUUUAUGGUUUGUUAUCUGUGUUGGUGAAGUUGAGGUGAAUAAAGCAGCAUAUAUGAAUACUCUCCAGCUAUCUGUUACACCCUGUCAACUAAAAUGUCUAGAGGGAACACUCUGGUGUGAGGCUCUUCACCAUGGUCCAGACCAUGACUUCUGAAGCUGCAGGAAAAUAAGGAGACUGAGGAAUGCCAAGGUAUUCUUCCCCGCUGAAAAAUUUCUUCAAGUGAAGAAGCACAUUAGAAGCCUCCCUGACUUUUGCCACUACCAUUGAAGUGUUGCACUUUUUAAAUCUAAUGCAAGAUUAUAGGUAAAUCAGAAAAGCUCCUGAAAUAAUAGACACAUCGAAAAGAAUAUGGAUAAUGGAAGAUAUGCUGGACUUGACAUCAAAUCAGAAGACCAGAAUUUGAAGGUUAGUUUCAGUACUUAUUUGUAUGACCGUGAGCACUUUAUUUGCCCAAGUCUCAACUAUCUCUUCUAUUACAUAAGAUCUGCCCUCAGCACACAGCACAGAAAGGGAGAACCAGUGUGGACUGGACACAUCCCCUACCAAGUUUCUCAAAGCAGAAAUAAAAAACAGGCUAUGAGAUCCAGUGAACAACUCCCCCAGGUCACAGAGCCUCACAGGAGCAGGUUAAAUGAGGUUGAAAAUUGCUCCUGUGGGUCCCUGCCAGAGAGAUCAGACAGCCAACAUCUCGGACAGCCCAUGGGGUUGCUGAAAGGCAAGACUGGAGAAGGCCCCACAUGGCCCACCUCUCCUUGUUCCCAGAGCUGCAGUGCCCACCCUGUAGCAUCUGUCACCUCUUCUGGAUCCCUUCCUGUCUCUCCAUCCUGAGUUCUUCCCGGAGAGGCAGUGUGAGGAGUACCAACCUGGACCCUGCUGCCGAAGGAAUGCAAAUCCUGACUCUGCCCUUUGCAGCAUAGCCUUGGACAAGCUGAGGACCUGCCCCUUCCCUGCCUCAUCCUCCUCUAUAAACUGAGGAUAGUAACAGCACACCUCACCCCGUCACAAGGAUUAAAUGAGUCAAUAUGUACCUAGGGCUGGGAGGCUGCCUCGAAUAGAGCAAGGGUGAAGCAAAUGCGAUUAGCCAUUAUCACAAUAGCAGCCUUCCUGGAUCUCUCUCUCCUCUGAACACCAUACUCUCCCCACAACACACACACACUCUAGAGUUCUAAAAGGGCUGAGUUUUGUUGCACUUCCAUGCAACUUCCUCUGAAAAGGACUGAUCUUUGAAAUGCUAAGGAUUAUCCUCAGUAUUGGUGAUUAUGAUUCCUUUUUUUUCCCUCAGCACUAUGGGUUAAACCCAGGGCCUUCACACUGAGCUACAUCCCCAGCCUUCUUUUUAUUUUCCAUCUUGACACAGG
ensembl:lncRNA